GACGAACGCUGGCGGCGUGCUUAACACAUGCAAGUCAUGGGGGUCCGCAAGGACAACCGGCGAACGGGUGCGUAACACGUGAGCGACCUGCCUGAGUGCGGGGGAUAGCCGGCCCAACGGCCGGGUAAUACCGCAUACGCUUUUUCGAGGGCAUCCUUGGGAAAGGAAACCUCCGGGGCACUCAGAGGGGCUCGCGGCCUAUCAGCUAGUUGGCGGGGUAAUGGCCCACCAAGGCGACGACGGGUAGCUGGUCUGAGAGGAUGGCCAGCCACAUUGGGACUGAGAGACGGCCCAGACUCCUACGGGAGGCAGCAGUGGGGAAUCUUGGACAAUGGGGGCAACCCUGAUCCAGCCAUUCCGCGUGAGUGAAGAAGGCCUUCGGUU
rnacentral:rRNA from 1 species